rnacentral:tRNA from 1 species
GCGGGAGUGGCGGAAUUGGCAUACGCGCAUGUUUGAGGGGCAUGUGGAGUAAUCCGUACGGGUUCAAGUCCCGUCUCUCGCACCA